rnacentral:lncRNA from 1 species
ACUUUUUUUUUUUUUUUUUUUUUUUUUGUCGACGGAGUGGGGUGUCCGGGUCAAGUCCGUAAAGGCGGCCCGACUAAUCCCCACUCGGCCCGGCCCAGCGCCCCAACCAGACCUAGCACGUUAAAUGCACGGCAAACUGAUGUUGCUGCGGAGGUUCGACCCCAGGACCUAACGGUCCCGAGGAGGAGGCGCCAACCACCAGCCCAUUCACGUGGGGGCUACAAAUUCUUACUACUUGUUCUAUUAGUUUUGACACAGGAAGACCCCGUAAUUUCUGUCAGUGUCAUAGUGUGCAGCAGAUAAAUUGUGAAACAUAAUUUCUGAAUUGGAUUUAUACUACCAUAAGUAUGACGCCCCUUUGAGACCCCGAAAAAUGGACAAAUUCCUUUUCUUAGGAACACAUACAAGAUUCGUCACUCCAAAAAGGAUAAUUGUAAUCCCACCAUUAACUACUACAUAUAUGAAUAUUUAUGAAUUUUAUAGUAAUAGAAAUACACAUCCUACCUAGACAGAAUUUGUAACUUGCUAUCCUUUUACUUGAUCGACUAAUUGUUCUAUGAUGAAAAAUUUUCGAUUUUAUAGUGAAAAUGGAUUAGUUUGAUUUUGGUUAAAAUUCCCUUUUAUGAAAAAGGAACAUAAUAAAAAAGAAUAAUUGAAAGAAUAAGUUCAAUUGAAAAUUUGUUAUUCGUCUAUCAUUAUAUACGGUGCUAAUAAAGAUAAAAUAUAAAGUAAGAGGUAUAUAAAAUAAAAUCGAUUUAUCGUCUGUUGAAGUAUUUUGAGAAAUGCGUGGAAAAAAAGAUGCGAUCUGCCGAAGUCGUGCGGAUGUAAAAAUACUAUUUGAUUUCUGAUUGUACUUGUUCUAUGAGACAUAUCCUUCUUUUUUAUUUCUGUUAGUGAAGAAUUUGUCCAGUUUGGAGAGUUAACUUUACUAAAGGAUUCAUGAAUUAUCUGAUUGUUGAUUAUGGAAUCUUUUUCGUUUUUAGCCAUUUUAUGAAAUUUCUAAGACUGGUCCUUUUUUUUUUUGCUGGGUAGAGAUGAAUACUAUAUGGUAGCGGUAGGCAAUUCUUUGACCUUAAAUCAAGAUAUUCAGGAAAUACUAGAAAUUAUGAUCAAGGAUUCCUUUAUCAACCGGCAUCUACUUUUAUUUCAAAAAUACCUACUGAAACAUUUUUCAAAUACAAAAGUUCAAUUUCUUCCCAUGAAUUGGUGAAUUAGACAGUAAUCCCACGAGCCUCUUGUCCAUUCUCAUUGAGGGGAGCAAAGUCAAAUAGAAAAACUCACACUGGGUUUGAAUUUGAAUUCCAUAUUUGAAGUUGCGAUCAGAUCGAUUCAUUAAAAAGAAUUGAUUCAAUACAUUUCUUAUGUACCUCCCUAAGCUGUGCUUGCAUUUUUCAUUGCACACGGCUUUCUCUAUGUACACAUCAGUUUUUUUUUUUUUUUUUUUAGAAAAAACUUUAAAUUACUUCGAAAUAAAUUAAGAAAUUCCAUGUAAGAAUCAUAGCAUUUUGUGAUUCGAUGGUAAAACCCCUUUGAUUCUCUACCAACCAAUAAUGUAGGACCAUUAAAAUGGUUAAAGCAAAAUGUUUGAAGUUUAGAUGCAGCAUGGUAGUCUCUCUACCGCUAUGUUAAUAAGGAUCAAGCAGCAAGUUAUGUUUGAUUGCCAGUAUCUCCUCCAUGUGUUACAUCAAGUUUUCGGUAAGGAGUAUGUUACCACAGGUCUCGUUUGUGGCACAGCGCUGCUUGGAAAGUCAUUUUGUUUCAAAAAAUUUUUACGUUUUUUAUAAACACAUUUUUCAAUCACAUUUUUUCAAUCACCUUUUUAUCUCACAUGUAUUAAAUUGCUACAGUAUAUUUUUCCACAAAACCCUAAAAGAUAGCAAUCCAAAUGGGCAAAGAUUGUUGUCCUGAUAAAUCUGACCAUAACCUUCAAAAGUUUCAGGCUCCACUACUUCAACUCCUUGCACAUACUAAGCAGCUUACAUGGUUGUCUCUCUAUGUUUAUUAAGUACAGAAAUAAGUUUAACUAGAGGUUUUUUUUAUUAUUUAAUUUUACUGUUAUUUCCCCUUGUUCGACUUGUAGCAGGCCACGUUCUAAUUGUAGACAGCCUUUGAUGUGCUAUAUGAUCAAAACUGAACCUAGUUCCUUCUGUGGUGUUUCUUCAUGUACGAGUGCUGUGCUUCCAGCUGUAGAGCCACAGAAAAAUAUCCAGAAUUUUUAUUUGAACAGUUUCACUUAUGUCUUCUUCAUGAACUACAGAGGAAUGUGGCGCUUCUUGAAACUCUCCUGUCAAACGUGAUAGCACACCAAUAUAACCAUGAUAGCAACAUAUCUCCACAUCAGCCAUCUUUAUAGACGCACCCAAGCAAGCCCCUUAACAUAAAAAGACAACUGUCAUGUGAAUCUUGGGUAUAAUAUUUGUUCUAAAUUGACAGUAUUCACACGAUUAAGUUUUGUCUCAGGACAAAUGACAUAUAAUAACAUACAAUUCAAUCUUAUCCCUUGUUUCUGGUUCCAGAAAUUAUAAUCUUGUAAUGGUUUUUAGACAUAUAAGACAUUUUCCAUUACCUUAUUUUGGAAUGUAAAUCAUAAUGAAUCAGAAACCAAAAAGAAUCAAAAACCAAUUUAAGGAAACAGUUUACUGAACAGAGUAAUUGAGAAAAAGGAAGAAGAAAGCCUAACCAGUUGCAAUAUUUCUUGUUCAGUCAGCAUCAGAACUACUAUAUUUAGAUACAGCAUUAUCAAAGUUAAUCUCAAUUAUUAUUAGCAGUGUAAAUCUGGACAAACCCAAGCAGACCAAAAGAAACACAAGUAAAUCAGAUACAUUUACCAGCAACAACAAAUUUGUCAUAGUUUGCCUCAUCAGUCGGACACGGAAGCCAUAUCACCUGAUCAUUUUUAUGAUGAGAAAAGGGGCGCAAGACUGUUAGAACCAGCAUCAUCUGUUUAAACCGUAGAUAACAGGAAUCAAUGGACGCAAACUUCGCCCUGGAAUACUUAGUGGACUACCCGUAACUCUGUCAAUGUGGAAAGUGAUAUGCUACUGAAGUGAAUGGAGCCAAUCUGUGUUAAGUAAUGUUGUAUUGUUCGAUCAUAGUGAGAAAAAUUAAUCUUACACCAAUGCUGGAGGCUUGUGACGUGACUUUUGGUCACAAACAUCACAUCACUGUCCCUUGCCAAUGGGACUACCAUUACCUGAAACAACUUUCCCACAUCAUCUGCAGAUGAAAGAAUUCAUAACCACUAAGCUGGAGAUCCCAUCUAAAUUAAAAUGAAUUAUCUAAUGAGGUUUUUCUGUUUCCUUUACCCUUCUUUCAAUCAAUAAAUAAGGAAGGAUACAUGCACAUCAUCUAAAAGUAUAUGCAGAUGAAUGGCUGGGACAAUCGAUAUACAUUUCUCAACCACAACUUGGAAGUAGCAGCAUUUACAGUAGAAAAGGGGAAGUUUAGAAUAUUUAUCGUAGAGGAAAUUUCAAUCAUUUAGCUUAACCAGCGACUGCAUGAUUUUUAAAGCACUGUCACAAUUCUAUCUUUUACCAAGAAAUCUAGAGGGGUACCAUGGAAAAUUUUGAAAAAUCUUGAUCCAAAAUCAAGUCAUAAGCUCAGAAAUGACAGUGCAUUCUUCCAACAAUGGUAAGUGCGGUACAACUGACCACCUCAUUUCUAUGUAUUAAGUGAUUCCAAGCAUAUGCGACAUCCUCAACUAGCAGAUUGGAUGACUUCUUUUUCUUUUGCCUAAGAAUCUUUUAUCAACCAAAAUAUGAUAAUAAUAAUAAAGAUAAAAAUCAAUAAAGCAAAGCAGCUUCUACAUGGUUGUCCUCUCAAUAGGCACCUGUUGGAAGGUAUCAUUCCUUCUGGCAAGCUCAACCCAAAGAAGAAGAUUUUCUCAACAACUAAGCAAGAAAAAGGAAAAGUGACAGCAAUUAGGAGUAACAAUAAGAACAAAGGCCACAAUAUUUAAGAGAGCGAGAUAUGAGAAGCGACAUGGUAAUCAGUGAAAAUCAAGGGCAGUUAUGGGAAGUCUAUACUGCAUUGAAAUAUUGUUAUGUGGUAUUGCACUGAUAGUUUAGAAAAGUGGUCGUAAUUCUCACAAGCUUUGCAAGAGAACUACAUUGUGAUUUAGUGGAUAAAAGCAUGCAGACUGAAGCUAAUUUCCAGAAUUUACACAUGCAUGAAAUUAGAUUUGUUAAAAUAGAAGGUGUUAAAAGAAUUCAAAACAAAAUGCAGAUGCAACAGGUGGAGAAGAAUAUUGCAUCAGUAUGAGCAAAUGCAACAUUAUGGCUGUUGGAGAAAAAUAUGUCAGCCAUCAAUCAGCUCUCUUGGCAUAAUAAAGUUGAAAAGAGCAAACAACUUCUAGAAAUUGAGCAGCAGUAGCAUGGACUUGCCAUGAUCUUAUCUGCAAGAAAGUGGAUGCAAGCAGUGUCCCACUGUAUAUGCCAAGGAAAAGGUGCAAAGCCCAAGGUCCCCAACAUCAUCUUUAAACCUUGGGAAGCAAGGGAAGCAUGCUUCCAAAAUUUGUCCCUGGAAAAUGCAGGGGACUGAUCAAUAAUGUCUUCAAAAAGGAACUUCACAUGCUACUGCUAAAUAGUAUGGAAAGAAUCAAACUCCAAACUAACAUAUCAGGAAAUCUGAAAUAUCACUCAUAAUAAAAGUGAUAGGUGUACUCCCACUCUAGAGUUCAAGCCAAAUAUUAAGCAAUAAACUCCAAUACUACACAAUGGUUACAGGAGAAAAGGCAGUAACAACAAUUCCACAGUAAAUUUACAAAUUGAUGUAGCCAUCCAAUUAAAGAAAGUAACUAUAUUGGACCAUUGCACCUUAAAAUACGAAAACAGAAGCACAAUCAUAAACCAAGAAAACAAAAUUACUUGGCUGGCUAAUUCCAAUUCAAACACAUGAUUAUACCAACUUGACUUAAGCUGAACUGUUUGCUUGCCAGUAAUUCUAGGCAUUCUUCACACCAAUAAUUGCACGAUUUUAACCACGGACAUAAAUAUAAUAAAAUUGGUAAGAGGCAACUAAGUCAUCAAAUAUCUGAUUACUUAUGCAAUAUUCGCAAUUUUUGUUACAUUCUUUGAAACUGCACAAUGACAAGGAACAGAACAAAUCAAAAGGAAAAUGACAGUAGGAGCACUUAUUUUCUUUGCAAUAUCCAAUACAUGCAGUCCUUCCUUUAGAAGAAUCUCAUAUUUGAUUUCAGAGCUACAAGAGACAAUUGGAGAAUUACAAACUUAACAGGGAGUACAAACUGUAACACAGCAUUCUUACAAUGUUUUGUGAAUGGUCCUAUUUAAAAACAAAAUAAUGAGCUGAAUGAUUAUUAUCUACAAUUAGCACCAGUUUUACCAGAAAGUAGGCUCCUUAUCUCCAUCAAAUGUUCAUCAUUUGAUAUAUGGAGCAUCAUACGAAGAUUUGUCAGCAAUGUCUCCUGGUCCCAACUUAAGGGUCCAGAAGCAUGCAAUGCCUCUAAAGUACAGCGAUAAGCAUGCAACUCCAAGUUAUGAAUACUUGUUGCCACUUCUUCUUCCAAAGGAAGAGAAAGAGAACAACUUUCUUCCUUAUCUGUUGAACCACAAAAUGACUCCGCAUCGCUACAAACACUAUCUGUCACCUGAAAAGGAAUCUGCGCCAAACGAUAGGGAAACCGUCUCUGUCGCUCGCUAUUGACACUACAACUACCAACAGAAGAAGCAUCACUAUCAAAAUCACUGGAUUCGGUAUCCCUAGAUUCUAAGCUUCUAGCUAAGUAAGAUCCAGCAGCACCAUCUAGAUUUUCUCUUUUUCGUUCUUUAUAUCCAAUCAUUCUAUUGUCAACGGAAGCACGCAUGUUUAUUUCACCCAGAUUCUCUUUUGGAGAAGCAACAAGAUCUACCUUUUCCACCAAUGAGGGUGGAGCCACCUUUUGUUUCCUAUAAUCUUUCUCGACUGCUCUGAUUUUGUAAGCCUUCCCAGUAAGUGAUUCAAUAACACAUGAACUAUCCUGGGACAAUCUUUUGAGGGAUCUUGAUAAUUUGUGAAACUCCUGCAACCCAUUUCGUUUCUCAAUGUCUAAACAAUUUUUUUGUGCUUCAGUGUGUGUCCCUGCAUUAAAUUUUGCUGCUUGGAAGCUUGUUUUCUCAUAGUAAUUCAAACUUGAUUGCUUGUUGACUUGAUUUACUCCACAUGCUCCAGAUUUCUGCAAAACAAAACCAUAGAUCACAUACUGCAAUGAACCAAAAAAAUGUAUAUGCAUGAUGAAUAUAUGUCAGAGUGUAUGAUUCAAAGGCAUAACACAUAGCUCAAAUAGAAAGAGAAAUGGAAAAUGACUGUGGACUAAGAAAAAAGCUCCUACCUUUCCCAUCAGGAUCCAUUUGUCAUCUAGCCAUAACCAUUGCUCUCGGAUAUUCAAUUUGUGUACAUUGGAUUCCUUGGAGCUUCCAAGUAGCCUCACCGUGUAGUAAUCCCCCUGCAUAACUGUCAAUAUGGUGGCAAUUUUCCAUGAGAAAUCUUCAAAAACCUCCACAGUAUCUCCAACUUUCCAAGUCUCUAUGCCCUGUGAAGGCAGAGGACAGGGUCUAACAAAUUUCCUUGACACCCUUUCCAUCAUAGAUCUGUUGUUCAUAACCGGAUGGUACUCAUACCUCACAUAAUAAGUAUGACCAUUCCCAUUUAGUAUCUCGGCACUACGCCAAGAGAUUGGCACCUCCUUUUUGUUCAUAACCUCCACCUUACUGCCCCUUUUAAACCUCAUUAUGGGCAACUAAAUUUAAUCAAACGCAAGUUAAAACCUGUCCAGAACAACAAAAACAGAAAACAAUAAAUCAGCAUAUGCAAACACGAGAAUCAACUCAAACUAAAGACGGGGAAGCCAGACACCAUAGCAAUGUCACAGAUAAAGAUCAGGGGCUUAUGGAUGGCUUUAUUUACUUUGAAAGAGGUUUCAUCCAAUUUAUCACAAUGAAAAUGUAAACCCACAAAGGAGGCCGCUACAAAGUUUCAAACAAUCAAUUGAUAAACUAAUCUAACACUAGAAAGGUGCAAAAAUAACAUCAACAGAAAUUGAUGUAAAAAAGGCAAAAAAUAAAAAAUAAAAAAAAUUCAACAAACUCGAUCAUUUAAAAUAAAAAAAACGCAAUAUCUACCUAGUAAAAUCGCCUUGAUCGUUACUCAUAAUAAGCUUAUUGAGAAAUAAAUAAAUAAAAAAAACCCCAGUAAAAAAAGUAUGAGAUUUGUAAAUUUCAGAAAAUAAACUUAUUAACCAACCCCAAAAUCUCAGUAAAAUGUGCAAAGCUUCAAAACACUAACAUAUUGAAAAAUAGCAGAAAAAUUUAAAAACUAGGGUUUUGAAACCCGAAUGGGAAACCAUUUGUUGGACAAAUCUACUGACCUUUUCUUCGAAUUGCUUGAAAUUAAUGCAAUAAUUUGACCAUGCCGAUAGUCUAUUUGUUGAUUUGAUCCUCUGAUUCACGAAAAACGAAGACUUUUUGAAUCGGCAAUUUCUGUGGUCUAGGGUCUAGGGUUUGCUUGAGCGUGGGGAAAAAUUAAUUUGGGGAAAAUAAUAAAAGAAAAUAUGAAAUAUUUAUGAUGGAGGGUAUUUUGGGAAAAAAAAUAUAAGUUAGGUAUAAAGAACUCCACGCGCAAGCCACCAGAUUCGUGUUGGUCAGGUAAGUAUGAUAAUUACUCCACGCGCGAUAGAGGAGCGUGCAGACACCUUAUCCGUCGCUUCUCAAGAUUUUUGUGGUCUUAUCCUUAACUUUGGGAAAUUUGCCAAAUUGAUCCCUAACAUUUUCACAAAACACUUUUUUAGUCCCUAACAUUUAAAAUCAGCCAGAAUAGUUCCUAACAUAUAAAUUAUGAGCCAGUUUGGUCCUAAUGCUCGUAUUUACUCUUUUUUCCGGCUAAAAAUAGUACACCGGCGUAAUUUCAAGGGCAAAAUCGGAAAAAUUCGUUAAUCCAUAAUUGUGCAUCCCUCAAACUCUUCCACCACUUCUUCAAUUGAUUCUCACCCUUUUGUUGAAGCUCUCCAAAGGCUUUGUGGGUUUAAGAAGGUGCAGAGAAUUAUUUGCCAAAUAAGAAGAUAAAAAUGAGUUCUUUGUUGAAAUUGAUAUCGAAUUCAGAGAUUUCCAAACUGAAAAGGGUCUUCUUCUCAAUAACCAUAGCUGCCUGAGAGAACCCAUGUUGCUGAUUCCUUGGUUAAGAGGAGCAAGGACGGAUGAUUUUACGAAAUCAGAAGCAGAAGAAGAGAUUGGGUCAAUGGCUGAAUAGAGACGGAGGAAUAUGGGCUCCGUUCAAGCAAAGAUAGCCUGUGGACUUGCCAAAAUGCUUCAACAGCUUUCUUACCAAAUUUGAGCAAUCAAUAUGAGGGAACUGCAGAUAUUGGUACAGAGUAUUGUGGAAGAAGAUGAUUAUGCAUUGGAAGCCGUUGAUUGUGACAGAUGCAGGCUCUGUCUUGUUUGAAAGAAUUGAAGCUGAAGCUUUCUAACCCACAAAGCCUUUUGCUUUAAUUUUCCACCUUCUGGACAACUCAUGAUUGACCCUGUUGUCAUAGCCUCUAGCCAGGCUAGUAGAUUUCCCAUUAAUCUUCUGUUCGUGAUUGAAACUUUUUCUUGGUGGCUUUGAUAUUUCUUGAAACUUCUUUUUGGUGUCUUUGAUAUUUCUGUCUUUUCAUUCAAUUUUUCUUGUUAAUUCUCCAUCCUAGUAGCAGUAGGUUGAGAAUCAAUUGAAGAAGCGGUGGAAGAGUUUGAGGACUGCAAAAUUAUGGAUUAACGAAUUUUUCCGAUUUUGCCCUUGAAAUUACGCCGGUGUUCUAUUUUUAGCCGGAAAAAAGAGCAAAUACGAGCAUUAAGACCAAACUGGCUCAUAAUUUAUAUGUUAGGAACUAUUCUGGCUGAUUUUAAAUGUUAGGGACUAAAAAAGUAUUUUGUGAAAAUAUUAGGGACUAAUUUGGCAAAUUUCCCCCUUAACUUUAUAGCAUUAAGUACCCAAGAACCAAAUAAUUAACUAUAAUUAUAAGUGGAAAAAUAUGCACAUACCAUAAGCACGAUCCUACCUGUAUUAUUAGUGAGCCAACUUUUACUAAUAAUUAAGGUGUUGUUGUAGUGCAUAAAUAUCAAAUCUCCCAUUUGCUCUAAUUUUUUUUAGUUAUUUUUUUAUCUUCUCAUACCUCCCUAUACCCUUUACACUCUCAACUAGAGCUGUAAAUAGGUCGAGUCGAAUUAAGUAUCUCAUGUUUGAACGCUAUUCAUUUAGUUGAUCGAAUAAAGUUCGUGUUCAUUCGAUAAUAUUCGAACUCCAAAUCUAUGUUCAUGUUCAACUCGUUAAGCACAAUCCUAGUUCGAAUUUGAGUUUGACUUGUUUAACAUAAACGAACCGUUCACAAAUAAACUCGAGAUGUUCGAAUACAAAGUCUUUCUUACAAAAAAUUAAUACAAUCUGCUUGUCUAUAGUAUUAACUAUUAAGAAACAACAACAAUCUAAAAUUCACUAAUCCAAUCUUGCCAUGCCACAUAAAAUAAAAAUAUGUCAUAUAAAUCAUCCUCAUUAACAACUAAAGCACUAAUUAGACCCAUGUUCACGAACAAUCAUUUAAAUUCGCAAAUGAAUUUGUAUUCGUUCGAUUACUAAUUGAGCCAAAAUAUUUGUUUAAACUCGAUUCAUAUAAAAUUUCGAAUGAACUGUUAUCAAAUAUGAAUGAACCUAAAUGAGGCAAACUAACGAAUAACUUGAUUCGUUUAAUAGCACUAUAAACUUGACAACGGGAAAGACUCUGAGAGUUUUCCCUAAAUACUGGACUCCUUUAAUUCAGUUAAACUAGCAAGGAACGACUGCAAACUUCAUCUUAAUUGGUAUUGUCAAUAGUUUAUUCUUGCUUAAAAAACAUGCGAUGCAAUAGUUUAUUGUCACGUUUGUACUUGUUUAGUUUCCUUGUUGCUCCUUCGUUAUUAUUUUUUUUUGGUGCCAAAACAGCAACAUAUAAAAGGUCACAAACUGAAGCAACUACCCAAAAAAAAAAAAAAAAAAAAAAUAGUAGAGCAACUGCAAAGCAGCCAAGAUGAGAAGUUUUCCUUCCACAAAGCUAUAGGCUAAAACUCCGUUGUAAACCAAUUAUGUUAGCAACCAAUAAACAAAAUCCGUUGUAUAAGUUUACGACGGAUUACGGAUUUUGUUUAUUGAUUGCUAACAUAAUUUUUUUUCCUAAUAAAAGAAAAAUAGCAUAAAAUUCGUUGGUAAACUUACAACAGAUAAUCGUUUACAACGGAUUUUGUUUAUUGGUUGCUAAAAUAAUUGUUUUUUUUCUCCUAAUAAAAGAAAAAUAACAUUCAUCAAAAUCUAAUCUUAGUUGUCUAAUGUCUAUUACAACUGUGCCAAUUAAGACAUUAUCAUCUUCUAUAGAAUCAUUAAUUAUGUCAACCACCGACCCCUUGCUUCCCACCCCUUUCACAUGCUAUCAAAAUUUAUUUAGUAACACAAUAAGGCAUAUGAUGUGCAUGUGCCCUGUAUAUUUAUUUUACAUGUUUUGUUUUUUUGAUAAAAAUGUAUAUUAAGAUUUAUAUUUUGUAUAUAAACUUUUAUAUACUUUUACGUACAAAUUAUAAAGUUGGCAAAUCUUCCAAUUGUCUUCAUUUAGUCAAAGAGACAGCCUUAUCCUUAUUUUACAUUUUUUUUAGAAUUUUUUUAAUUUUUUGAUCUUUUCCUAAUUUUCUAUAAUUUUUAUAAAACUUUGUUUAUUUUUAUAUCAUAUUAAUAUAUUUCUGAGAUUUAAUAAAACAUUAUGGACCAAUUCGGUCAAUGAAAAAUAAUUUAAAAAUUGCAUUUGUUUAGAUCAAUACACUAUGGACUAAUUUAAUUAAAAUUAAAUAGUUUGGGGACUAAAUUUAUUUUGGUCGAAAUAUUGAGCACCACUUUGGUGAAAAAAAAAUCCCAAAUUUUGAAUAAUACUAGAAGGGCCCUUUUUUCCGUAUUCUAUACCGGCCUAAAAGUAUCGGAGGAAAACGUCGUCGUGUCUUGCCUUUCCAAUUAAUCCAUGAAAAUCCGCCUUGAGCUCGAUUCUCCCGACAAUGGCGGCCUCGAGUGAACCCAACUCAACAGAAGACAUCUUCGACUCCUCACUGAAUCUAGAAGAAACCCACCUCAAAGAAGGCUACAACGAGGGCUACGCCGACGGUUUAGUCCCCGGCAAGGAGGAGGGCCGGCAAGUGGGCUUAAAAACCGGGUUCGAAGUCGGCGAAGAGUUGGGAUUUUACAGGGGUUGUAUUGAUGUAUGGAACUCCGCUAUUCGGGUCGAUUCGAAUUGCUUUUCGUCUCGGGUCGUGAGAAGCAUCAAACAAAUGGAGGAGUUGCUGAACAAGUACCCGAUUUCCAACCCGGAAGAUGAGUCGGUUAGCGAUGUUAUGGACUCUUUGAGGUUGAAGUUUCGAGCUAUUUGUGCCACCUUGAAUGUGAAGUUGGAGUAUAAUGGCUAUCCCAAAUCUUCUGAUGGUGGAAAUAUCCAAUUUUGAGGUUAAUUUUUGCCCCUUUUUUUAGAAUUUUAUGUCAAAUCUUUUGCUUUCCUUCUUUCCCCCCCUAUAUUUUCAUAAGUAUUGAUCUGAUGGCUUAAUUGGAUUGGCUAAUUGGGAUUCUUUUGCUGUAUUAUAUCGAUUAUGGACAUAUCUUUGCUACAAUUGGAAACCAGAUUUUUGGAUUUUCUUGGGAUUUAAAGCUCUUUUUGGUUUUUUGUGGUUGAUUAACUGGUUGGGUUCAGAAUAGUUUCUAGUUUAAGACUUUUAUUGUCUAAAUUCUGUUAUGGUAAUUACAGAUUAGUUGUUAUUUUAUAGAUAUUUUAGGGAAAAUAAUCAGAAAUUUUUAAUAAAGAAAGGUACCAUUCAUGUAUGAAAAUGUACCCAGUUCUGUACAUAAUGUAAUUAAAUAGAUAAAAAUUAUGCCCUCUUCAAUAUAUAUCUUAAAUGGCGUGCCCUUUCCACCAAUUUUCCCUUUUUUUCCGUCAUAAUUCAUUAUACUUGUGGGGCUGGUAGCCUCAGAUGAGCGACAAAUAGAAUGCCUUCUGCAGAGGAUUUAGCUGUAAUCUUGCGAAGAAGCUAUAUGAUUGACUAUGCUAGCAAAUAUGCAGUGGAAAGAGGGGAAAGAAGAAGACAUGAAUAUUAACUAGUGAAAAUGUAGUUGGUGUGUGUAAUAGAUAAUCUAUUGAGGUGACAGUUAUACCAAACUGGCAAGACUGUAAAUCCAUAUCUGAAAUUUGAGAUUUUGGUAAAUAGUACUAGGAGUAAUUUUCUAAGCAAGAGGAAUUCAGAAGUCUUUGAGAUUUAUGGAAUUGAGUGUAUCAGAAAAUUGAGAUUGUGGUGAACAGAACUAGGAGUAAUUAUUUGAUCUGGAGAACUCAGAAUGUCUUUGAGAUUUAUAAAAUUGUCAGCAGACUUGGAGCCAUAUGUUAGCCUGGCUGUUGUGGUGCAUACUAUAAUUUUUGCAUGUCUAUAAGCUGAAAUUUUGACUCUGCUGUCAGCUGAUUCACUUUUUCUAGAUUUUAUUUGCACUUUGAGAAUUUAGGUUUCAGAUUCAUUAUGUAUAGCCAUUUAGGUAACAUGUAAAGAUGAUUACUUUCUUACGUAGAGAAAGCACAUAUACCUUUUCUUAGCUCUUUUUUUUUUUUUAAUUUUAUUUUUGGAACUGAGUAAACAUCUUUGUUUUGUGUCUAGGUUGAAGAAAAGGAACUUGGUCACUUUGUGGUGCAGGGGAAGAAGGAAAGUGUUUUCAAGUGCGUUGGCUUGAGAUCCGAGCUGACUCUACACUUUUCUUUGUGAAAGAAAGGUUUCAUUUUCACUCAUGCCUUGAGGAUGGAGGGUGGAGACAAAAGGUUGAUAAAUGACUGUAAGACUGUGAUGCAAAAGAUUGUUGGUGGAGUGCUUGCUGAUAACAGUCAUUAACUUGUCUGUGUUUUGGGCAGGUUUAUAGCAAUUGAGCCAACAAUUAAUUCUUUAAAGUAGAGCUCUAUGUCGGAGAAAUUUUUAUGCUUGUCUUAGCCCUCAUCAGCUUCUCCUGGCUUCAUGAAAGCAUAUUGUCUUGUAGUUUACAUAAAAUUUAUAUUACAAUUGGAGCUAGUGAUGCAUCAUCAAGGGCUUCCGAGGCUGUUCUUUCUGGACUCUGUACAAAGACUGAAGUGUUGGAAAGCUUCUAAAAUGCACCUAUCUUUAGCUGACAUGAUCGACAAGGCUGUUGGAUACCUAUUGUCAGAUGAAAUUUCGUGCAAUUCUUUAUAUAGUGUCCUAUUUCUUGAAUUGCAUGAAGCCUAGGCAGAUUUCACAUGCAAAAAGGAUAAUCCCCCAGUUUGAUAUUUUGGUUGAAACUUAAAAGUAGAUGAACAUACAAGAAAACCAUGCAGGCAUAGAUCAAGUCUUCUAGCAAUCAGGAAUGAUGCUGCUGAAUUAGAUUAUUCAGCACUGCUAAAAAUGGGAUAUCUCACGAGUAGGCAGGUGAUUUGUGUGGAUAUACUUGGUUGAAUUCUCAUCCUGGCUUUGGCAAUUGCCAAGGCUGCCUGGUGAAAUUGUUGAUUAAUUUGCAAUGAGCAGCUAGUUAUACAUGAGACGUGGACAACCCUUUUUGCUUAAUAUGUAGGGAAAGCAAAUAUUGGUUUCUUUGACUUUCUUUAUUCCUUAGUCACAAUGAUAGGUUUCCCCUUGCCAAAAGUUGCCUCCCACCCCAACUGACUGGCCAGGGGAUCGAUCCCUUGAUCAGUCAGCGAGAAACUUUCAGCCAAAAGAAGGUUGCGAGAAGGCCAUUGCCUUUUCUAUCAAUGAGGUUGGGAAAAGAUAGUAUUGAAAUUUCCACAUAUUAUCCAUGUAAUACAUACAUCCAUAUAUAUAUAUAUAUAUAUAUUGUAAUAAUUGAUUAGUACAAUUGAUUAGAUGAUGGACAAAAUAUAAAAAUUUUAAUACAGUCUAUCUAUGAACAAAGAGAAGAAUUUGAACUAUAAUAAUAACAAGUUAGUGCAAUUCUUGCAUACAUUUCAGUAUAACUGAUUUUCACAAUCAAGACUUGAGGUUUACAUGGUCAUACUCCUUGACCCGAAAUUUUGACCAAUAAAGGGGUUUUUUUUUAAUGUUCUGCUUCUGCCAAUAAUACUACGAGACAUUUGUUCGAUUCUUCUGAACUUUUCAAUUUGAAUAUGUAUCAUUUUGAUCCCUAAUUUUGCUGCUGAUAGACAUAAUAGUAAGGUAAAUUUGAAAUCUGUGGUUUAACUCUCAAACCAUUCUUUUUCCUUUAUCAUGGUUUGUAAUCUCUCUUUAUAAAUAAAAAAAAAAUCUUUUCUUGCCCAAAAUUUUUUUUAAAAAAAGGAAAUCAGUCUUUAUGUUACAUAUAGAAAAUGUGUACUACUCGAGAAAAAAAAAUAAUGAUCAUAGAAAAUUCAAAAAGGUAUACAUGAAUGUAAAGUAAAACUAGUGGCUUCCUAAAGUACUGCCAAAAGGGUAAUUCAACUUUCAUCCUGCUCUAAGAAAAUAGGCAAAAAAAUAAUAAAAAGAAAAUAACUAUAGAAAUUCUAAAAUAUCUCUGUGAAAUUCUAAUUUCUUGAUUAUUGGCAAAAACUUGGCACUAUCCAAUAUGUCUAAUGUGUUGUGCGGACAUGGCUGUGCCUGAGUUUUAACUACGUGUCCUUCCUGUUAAAUGACAUCUUUCUAUGGCACCGAGUUAAUCGCACCAUGUAGGAUUUAAUACAUAAAUAAUACAUAAAGCAUGCAUGGGUUAAUGGGCUGUGUAUGAGGAAAUGCAGAUGAUGUCCACCGGAGCAGGCGCCGUGCUUCAAAAUCCUUAUGCAUUACAAGCUGGAUAUCAGGGGGUGCAGGUGCCCCAAUUCCCCUCCCAAUUUAUGCCAAUGAGGCCAGCCGGUGUUGGAAUGGGAAUGCAUGGCUUUUCUUCUUCAACUGCACUACCUGGGAUGUCAUUUCCCUUGGCCAGUCCUUGUCAAUCAACCCUAGCAGCCUCAGGAUUGGGCAUGGUUGGUCCAACGCCUCAGAUGCACUUGCCACUGAAUCCUUUCCAACCAUUGCCCUCAGCAGAUUCUGGUUCCCCUUUGAUGGCUGCACAAACAUCUUGUACAAGCUUACCUUCAACCUUAGUUUGUACAACUCAAGCAGAAACUAGUUCACUGAGUGUGCCAAGAGCGGCUCAAGUGCCUCUGACGGAUCAGGUUCUUUCUUUUCUACUUCUCUGUUGGACCUCCAGAUCAUUCAUUCCGAUUACAUGCUCCAAUCUAUGAAAAUUAUGCUCAGUUAAUGCAGAUUUGUAAGUUUCUUCCAUUGCACCUAUCUAUUGGAGUUCAUAUAAGUGGAUAUGUUUGUCAUGUCCUGCAUAUCUUGAAUUUACAGCAUUUUAGCUUGAGUUCAUUUAGGCUCUUAUCAGAAUGACCAUUUGUUAAACUGCAUAUUUUGCAUGUGCAAGAGGUUACUGUAUUGAAGAUAUUUAUCUGUAGCUGUGAAAGACAAAAGUUUCAAGCGUUAUGUGACUAUGCAAAUCUUAGGGGCCGAUCGCAAGUGGUUUAACUUCAAUAGUUCUGCCAAGUCAAAUUAUAACUCCUGCUUCCUCAUCAAGUACCAGUCCAGCAGUCCAGUAGAUGAGGUUCCAUUGCAUCCCGGAGGAAAGCAUCGAUAGUGGCUCUAGCCAGAGGUAGGUUCUUUCUCAUGUCUGAUGUAUAUCAGAUAUUUACUAUAUGGUUUGUUAGAUGAAUUAGUUGAGUGGUAAAUUGCUUUGACAUACCAGGAUUUGAGUUGAGGCCAAAGAUGGUAGCGAGAGUUGUUUACAGUUUCAGGAGCAACAGGGAGUUCAUUCUUUUCAGCCUUACCGUUUCAUCCAUUCUUGGUCUACAACAACACUGUUGCAGAUCAUGGCUAAGGUCUUGCAAGAAAUGAAGUAAUAGAACAGUUAUUACCUCAUCUUGGUUUAUUACUGCAGUUGAAUCACAUAAUCUGUGGUGCAAAAGCACUUGGUUUCUCAACUUUUCUGUACAUUCGCGAUUCUCUUAAUUUGUUCUUGGUCUAUGGUUUCUCCUGAGUUCAGCUGCGAGCAAGUACUGAAGCAUUUGGGUUCAAAAGGAAAACCUUUUGAGAAAUUUACCUCUGAAUUGUAUGCCUGAUUCAUCAUGCCUUUCCAUUUUUUCUGUUUCCCUUCUUAUCUUCAUUUUCCUCAACUUUUCUGGACUAAUGCACUGGAACAAUCUGGUUGCAGGACUGAAUACACCAGAUGUUCGUUCAACAAACCCUGCGUUUCCUGCAAAGGCCUAAUCACAUUCUUCAAGGAUGAGAACAAUGAAGUUACAAAUCUAACCUCUUUUAUGAAUUGUCUAUAAUUCAACAGUUAAUGGAGGGAUAGGAUCUAAGAUAAUAAUUUACAAGGACAAAAAAAAAAAAAUCUAAGAGUAAUAUUAAUGUGGCAAGAAAUAAAGGAAAGUUGGUAUCGCUCCUAUGUCCAUUCCGAGAAUAUCAGAACUUUGUUACUGUUGCGUCAUGCAACAGGUAAAAGGUCCAUUUGACGGCUUCAAGUCUCAAAGUCUAAAUUACAGCAAUCCAUAUUUCAAAAUAUUCCAUCAUUUUUCAACAAAGUGCUCUUUCCCCUAAUCUGUAGAACACAGAUUUGAUCAUAUUUAUUGACCUUACACUAAGCUGCAGAAGUGGCAGGUACAAAAUUCAACACAUUCUGCAGACAUUAGCACUUCUGACAAUUCCAAAGGUUUAUCAGCGUAAUUAACGCUCUACUCAAAUUCAAUAGAGACAGAGAUCAAGAACUUUGGUGGAAAUACAUUUCUCCAUUAUUGAAGAAUAGUACAUAAUCACUCAACAAGAAUUAACACAGCUACAUUUAUGCUAGUAUAUGACUUCUACUUGUAUUAAAGGUAUAUGACUUCUACAAAAUGAAGCACUGCAGGCUUACAACCACCUUUUCCCUGUGAAGUAUAUGGAAUUUUGACAGUUACAAUUCCAGCAUAUGCCUCAACAAUCAUAGAUCCUUCACAGGAGUUGCUAGCAUCUCCCACUAAAAGUGUCAGAGCACAGGUCUUGCCAAUAAUAGUUCUACCUACUUGACCAAUGGCACUUUCUUUUCCAGCCACAAGUUCCGCAACCCUGCUGUUAUGAGGUACUGAGAGAUGAGCCGCAUCGAUGUAUUUUACAGCUUUGAGGGAUUCAAUCAUCCGACCAGGUAGAGGAGAGCGACCAUCCUCAAUAUUUGGGGGCAUAAGGACACCCCAACUUGUGUUGGGAAAUAUGUAUGGACCCUCUUCAAAAUCCCCAUCUUCGACAAGUUGUCUGCUAGCAAUAGAGAAUUAUGCAAUGAAUCAGUAACUGAUAGUCAAAAAGCACAUAGGCUAUACUGCAAAUGAAACCAUUAAUUUCUUGCAAUGUACAUUUAUCACUUUGUCGUCCCAGAUGAUAAUACUACUUUUUUUUUUUCCCCUUUUAGAUGAUAAUACUUCAAAACUUGGAUAUCAACAAAUUGAAUGACAAUUGAAGGCAAGGGGGCAUAGUUGAUUCAAUCCAUUGAAUAUGCAAUUUCUGCACUCAAUGACUCAAAUCAGUGAAGGGGCAAGCUAUUUGUGAUGCACCUAGAAGGUCAGUUAAUUCAUCAUAUACACUUAAAUCUUAGGGGUCCCCAAUAUAACUGUUGCCAGAAAUAUGGCCCUGGUUAAUUUAUUGUGACAAUGAUAGACAUGGCCAGGGCUGGCGUCUGCCAUUUGCAGCAUAAAUUAGCAGAAUGUGCAGCAUAAACUCUGGAGUUAGGCCCUACUAACUAAAUUUAGUUUUGAAGGGUAAAUAUACAGAAGCAUAAGAGUCCCAAUUAGCCAAUUCAAUCAAGCCUCAGAUCAACACCAGAAAAAAUAGGAAAAAAAAAACAAGAAUUUACAUAAAGAACUACGUAAAAAAAGGCAAAAAUUAACCUCAAAAUUGGAUAUUUUCUCCAUCAGAAGAUUUGGGAUAGCCAUUAUACUCCAACUUCACAUUCAACGUGGCACAAAUAGCCCGAAACUUCAACCUCAAAGAAUCCAUAACAUCCCCAACGGACUCAUCGUCCGGGUCGGAUAUUGGGUACUUGCUCAGCAACUCUUCCAUUUGUUUGAUGCUUCUUACGACCCGAGACGAAAAGCAAUUUGAAUCGACCUGAAUAGCGGAGUUCCACACAUCAAUACAACCCUUGUAAAAGCCCAAUUCUUCGCCGACUUCGAACCCGGUUUUUAAGCCCACUUGCCGGCCGUCUUCCUUCCCGGAGACUAAACCGUCGGCGAAGCCCUCCUUGCAGCCUUCUUUGACGUGGGUUUCUUCUAGAUUCAGCGACGAGUAAAAAAUGUCUUCUAUUGAGUUGGGCUCAACCGAGGCUGCCAUUGUUGUCGGAAGAAUGGAGCUCGAGGCUGAUUUUCGUGGAUUAAUUGGAAAGACAAGAGAAGAGCCGACCUCCCCUGAGGUUUUGCCUAAUAUCAUUUAGCAUGCACAAGCUGAAGCCAAUCAGCUACCAUACAAAGUUACAGACAAGUAAGCUAAUAUAUAGUGUAUCAAGCCUUAUCCAAGGCAGGUUUAUUAACUAAUGUUCUAGGCUAAUAGGCCUUGUCAUCAACCUCCGCAGGUAGUCCGAUUGAUUCCAUAACCUGAUAAUUACCAGCAGAUCCUAUGAUCGAUUUUUGUGUACAAUCUUGUAUCUUGGAACAAGACUCUACAAAAUUUUCAGAGAUUAGUCUGAUCAAAGGCUGAAAUAUCCUAUAUAAAAAAAAAUAGGCCUUGUCAUCAUAUGAAGAGAAUAGGUUCUAUACUAGUUGUACCAGUGCAUGCCAACAAAGUGGAGACAACAAUGAAUCUAAACACAACUCAUUGAUUUCAAACUCUAAAAUGCCAAAGGCAAAAGUUUUUUGGGGGUUGGGGGGGCUUAUAUAACAGAGCACACACAAUCACAGAAAAUAUUCAUUUAACAAACCCUAGACCCAGAAAACAAGGGAAAGAAAGGAAAAUAAAUUUACAAAAGUACAAAAAUAUGGGAAAAGCUCAGUAAAUAUUUUCCAAGUAAGCAACAAAAAAAUCGUUAGUUUUUUUAGAUUAGAUCACCAAAAAUUCUACAAGAAAUCCAAGAAUACUAACUGCAGUCAAGUGAGAGUAAAAACUCGGAUCUCAGUAAAAUUAGUUAAAUUACUCAGAUCUCAGUAAAAGCCACACAAAAACCAAAACAUAGAAAUCACGCUACUCCACGAACUAUCUCAAAAACCAUUCCCACUCAAACCACAACAAAAACCGUGUAUAUUCAACGAUUUUUUUACCUCAGAAUUGCUGAUAAAAACCCACAUUUUCCCUCUCCUCUUCUUCCUACUUCACCACUGCCUUCUCUGCCAAUAGUGGAGCAGAAAAUCUUUGCUUUUUUUUUUUUUAAUCUUUUCUACUUCUCAAACUGUAAUACUACCUCAUUUUUUUGAGAACGACGAAGAACAAGAAGAAGUAAAGAAGAAAGUGGAGAGUCUACAACAUUGAUGAGUCAGGCGUUCAACUUUUACCACCAAAAAAACACACACACGCGCACGCGCCACACAGUGAGAAAAAUCUUUUAUUUAGUUUGUUAGUGUCUUCAAUUAUUUUUUUCUUUUAUUUGAUGAAAGAAAUAAAACUCAAGAACCAAACCCUGAAAUAAAUUGUUGAGAUAUAUGCUAUGUUUUCAGAACCGGACCGGAUAUCGACUCGGCCGAGGUCAGGGGUUAGGGGUCAAUGGGUUCGACCGGGGGUCGAUAGAGGUCGAACCGGAUGACGUCAUAAAUAAAAAUUAUUUAAAAAUUAAAUUAUUGUAUAUAAAAUAUCCAAUAACAUAUUGAUAUUAAUAAAGGUAUAUUUAUAUAUAUUUGAUGUUUCAAAUAUAUUUAACAAGAAAAUACAAAGAAAUUAGAACAAUCAAGUAACAAUUUAUAUUAUUUAAUAAACAUUAACAAGUUUAGAAUUAAAAUUAUGGAUUUAAUUGAAAAAUAACAUCAAAUUUUAGGACAAUAUUUAUAAAGUAUGAAAUAUUUGAGGUAUAUUAAUAAGUUUUCACAAUUUAGGGGGUCAAAACAUAAUAUUAAAAAAAUUUGAACUUUUUUUACAAAAUCUCCUGUUGGACCGGUUUUUCCGGUUCUGUACCGGUCAAACCCGGUUUUUGACCGGAGUUGACCGGGUUUUAAAUCUCCCGGUUCUGAUGACCAACUCGGACCGGACACUUGGCCGGUUCCCGAUUCAACCGGUCGAACCGGCCGGUCCGGUCCGAGUUUGAAAACACAGGAUAUAUGUAGAGGUUAGGGACUCAUAAAUUUUUACCGAACCCAGAAAUAAAGUUAUUAAGACAUAUGUAGAGGUUAGGUACUCAUAAAUUUUUAAUGUUCAUGGCCUAGAGGUGUAGUUGAUUUUCUUUUUUUUCUAAAACUUCUUUACUUAUUGCAAAAUUUAUUUUGAGUGUCAAAUUUUCAUCCCUAAACAUUUUCACUAAAGCCAAUUUCAUCCUUUAAUGUUUUUCAACUUGACAUUUAUUAGUUCCUGAACUAAAAUUUUCCUGCCAAUUAAGUACCUUCACCGCGGUGCCUCCCCAAACAUUUUUUGGAAAAUGGUCAAUUUAGUCCCUAUACUUUUUUAUAAUGUCAAUUUAGUCCUUAUAUAAUUUUUUUGGCCAAUUUAAACCCUACACUUAUUUGUCGGUUCCAAUUAAGGAUCUCCGCGGCCGCGCCACCUUGUAAUUGCGGUGCAACGUCUAAUUGACCACUUAUGCGGGGGCAUUUCUGGUACUUCACUGUUGGGGCUCCUCUUCAGAAUUAAGAAUCAAAACCAAAAAGUUACCGGUGUAAAAUUUCCCAAAUUAUAUCACCACUGAAGAUAAAGCUCAGUGACUCUGGAGAUGUGAUCUGGUCGGUGGCGCUGGACGAAAUCACUGCAGCGAAAUGCAUCCAAGUAGGAAUUGGGACAAAGCAUCCUCAAGGUCAAGCUCACGAAGUAGUGAUGGAGUACUGAAGAACGUCGGUGUCGGGUUUCAUGGUGCAGAUAGUGAAAGGCUGAUUUACGAAGGAAAUGAUGAAUAUUACAAUGGAGACAAAAUGGUGCAAUGCCACUGCCGUGAACAAUGCAGAAUCGUGACAGCAUGGACGGAGGCAAACCCAGCAAGAAGAUUUCAUGGUUGCAGAAAUUAUGGGGUAAUUUUGUGUGCUAAAUGUUAGAUUUUGUUGAGUUAUUGCUUGAAUUUUGACUAUGAAACAUAUGUGAAUGCAGAAACAUGGGGCUUGUAAAUUUUUUUUGUGGUAUGAUCCACCCAUACCCCAAAAAAUGAAGAACACACUAGCUGCAAUUUUGAGGGAACUGAGAAGUACCGAGAGGGAGAAUGUAGCACUGAAGAUUGAAAUCAACAAAUUGAAGGCAAAAGUGAAAGUAUUGUUCUUGGCUUGUACUUGUUGCUGCAUUUUAGUUGUUGCUAUACUCGGGUGCACUCAAAGGCAAAAUGGUAGGUUCAGUGAAUUGAAGAUGUUGCAGUAGUUCUGGACAUUGUAUGAAAGUUCAUUAUUCUUGCUCUGUUUGACCAUGUAAUGCUGCCCUCUUGGAAUGAAGUAAUUGCAGAGGUUUCAUGUAAUACUUUUGGAUUUGGAUUGUUAUGAAUUUGUAAUAGUUUUGAGUUCCUAGUUGUAUGUUUACAAAUUUGGGGUUGAAUAUCAAAGAGAGCAGCUUUCUUAAGUCUUUAGUGAGUUUUUGGUGAUGUACUCAGAAAUCAAACUGUGGCUUGUGACUUGUUACUACACACAAUAUGAACUGUGACUUGACUCUGUCUUCCCUUAUCCCCACAUCAAUCUACAUGUUCAUUCCUUGUUCCAAACACUGCAUCUUAAAUGGAGCUAAUGCCAUCAGUUCCUUUCCCAAAUCUACCAACAUAUACUCUGUCCAAAUUGAGCAAUCAACGAGUCAAUUGAUUAAUCGAACUCAAUCCCAAUUCCUUCAGCUAGGCAGGGGAAAAUUUUCUGAUCAUGCAAUAGACAUUUAGAUGAGCUAAAAACUUAGCUCCCAGACAAGUGCAAAAAGCCCCCAGCAAAUCUUAAAGAUGAAAUAUAGGGCACCUGCAACCUUCGCGAGUUGGGAACAAUAGUUCACUAGUCUUCAAUUACCAAAUAAACAAAAGACAACACCAGUAGCACAUAUGCUGCAGAAUCAACUUUUCCAAAAAUCAUACUACUAAUCAACAUCUCAAAUGUUAGAACCGAUCCAUUAGAUUAGAAUCAACAUCACAACACACAGGAGAAUGUCCAGAAUCCAGAAUUCAUUAGAUUAGCAGUCUUAACAGUAAAAAAACAUUCAAUAGCUCGAUUCAUUACAAAAGAAAGUGAAUCCCAAGACAUAAAGGUCUUCCAGCAACUUCAUCAGCAAAAAAACAGUAAGCCAGCUUCAUCUAGCAACUUCAUCAGCCAGCUUCAUCUAGCAACAUCAUCAGCCAGCUUCAUCUAGCAACUUCAUCAGCCAGCUUCAUCAGCCCAAAAAUAGUCAAUUCAAAAACAACUUCAUCAGCAAUGUCAUCAUCUAAAUAUUAUCAUUUUCACUGAUCAUCCAGUUCAUCGACUAUCCUAUGACACUGCAAAUACAUACAUAGUGAGAAUCUCCAAGAGUAAAUUAAAUCAAUAAUUUAUAUACGAUUUUGUGGCCUCAAAAAAGUUACCUUUUCUUUUCUUCUUUUCACAGUACCCAUCCUGUUUCUCCACGCUUGUGCUUGGCAGCAAGUGCAAGUUCUUUUGGACUGGCCCGAGGCAUGACAAUAAAAACAACACAUGGUCCUUUUGAGCUUCUGAGAGCUUUCAGUUGGAGCAAUAGGUUGAACAUCAAUUUCUUCAGGAGCUUGAUCAACUUGCAUUAUAAAAACAGGACAAAUAUCAGAUGCGUUCAUGAAACAGUAAACAGGAUUUGAGCAACAAUUAGAAUAGUAGUUAAAAAACUUAAAAUAUAGUAACAUAUCAGAUGUGUUUCAGCUUCUUGCAAUGUAGGAGAGUCUUGAAAUGUCUCAUCACAGUCUUGAAAUGUCUCAUUACAGUCCUCAAAUGUCUCAUUACCAUCCACAGAAGGAGCUGCAACAAUUAAAACAGAUUAGCAGCCGCUAGAUAAAAUAAUGCAACAUGAAAGAAAAUAUGAGUUCAGUCAUACCAAUUUCACCGACAGUUCCGUCUUUUCCCUUGGCAUCCAAUGGACAAGUUCUUGCAUUGUGUCCAAGUUUCUUACAUUUUCCACACCUAUUACUAUUUACAGGUGGUAUUCUUUCAUUGCUGUCCAUUCCUUCCAUGUUGAGGUGACAUUAUCUUUUAGUGUGGCCCUUUUGAUGACAAAGAGAGCAAGUCAUACGUGUAGUACCCUUUCUGGACAGUCUUGUGCAUCCAGCCAUGUCACGUCGUGGCUCAUCCGGCUCUCUCCUCCUUACUUUCUUAGGCCUACCGGGAAGUUUUACUUUCUUAGGUGCAUACAUAGGGGCCCUCUUACACCUUUUCCAGUUAUUAGGUCCAUUAAUUGGACUAAUAGCUGGCUCGUAAGCCUUUAGAUAUGAAUCCCUUGAGUAAUAUGGAUGCACUAGACUUUCAGGCUCGGCUCCGGUCAAAGCAAUGCAGCCUAUAGCAUGAGAACACGGUAAACCAGUGAGUUCCCAUUUUCUACAUGUACAUGUCUUCGCCUUUAAGUCAACAACAAACUUGGCCCCAUACAUAUGUGUCACCUCAAAUCUGUCAUCAUCAGACCACCUGGCAAUAUUUGAUCUAGCAUCAUCCUUUGCCUUUUCAAUUUUUUUUUGAACUUUUGGACAAAUAAUAUCACUUCUUUUUCUCAUCCAUUCCCUCUUUGUCCUAAGUCUUUCCAUUAGAUAUAUCCUAAUAUUUUCAAGCAUACCAAGGAUGGGCUUUUCUCUUGCAUCUAAUAUAACAGAAUUAAAGCUCUCACACACAUUAUUGAGAAGAAUAUCACAUUUAGCCGUGAUCCUAAAAUGCGAUCUGGACCAAUGGCAUGGUGAUGUGUUGUCCACUAGCCAUUUGUGUGCUUUCUCAUCAUACUGCCUCAACAUAUCCAUUUCAGUUUCAAAUUUAUUGACAUACGAGGAUCUUGCACAAGCCCAAAACAUACCCUUGAGUGUUUCUCCAGGAUGGACCUUUUUGAAAUUGUUGUGUAAAUGCCUAACACAGUGUCUAUGCUCCACUCCAGAAAGAAUAUCUUGGAUGGCGGAACCCAAACCCUGUUAUAUAAAAAAACAAAAAAAUUCAGAAAUCAGUCAUUUCUAUAAAGUAGUUUUCCAACAAAAAAUCAGUUUCAAAUUUCUAUGUUACUUAGCCAUACCUUUUGCCUAUCACUGAUAAAUGUCCAUUGUCUCUGGUCUUGGAUUGUGAGAUCAAAUUUUAAGAAUUCAAUGAACCAUGUCCAAGAACUCUUGUUCUCGGUCUCAACCACUGCAUAUGCAACAGGAUAGAUGCAAUCAUUAGCAUCUAUCCCUACAGCUGUCAAAAGCACUCCCGGAUGUGGUCCUCUUAGAUGGCAUCCAUCCACACCAAGUACAGGCCGACAUCCUUCUUUAAAACCUUUUUUCAAGGCUGCAAAACAAAUGUAUAGUCUUCUGAAUCUCUCUUUUCCGCUAAAUUCAUCAGCCUCCGUCUCUACAUGCACUGUGGAACCAGGAUUUGAGCUCAACAAUUCCUCACAAUAGUCCCAAAUUCUUGUGUAUUGCUGCUUAUAUUUUCCUUGGAUCAGAAUUUUGGCUUUCCCAAAAGUCUUAUAAGCCUGAUCUUUUGUGAUGUUCACAUUCAGUUCUUGAUGCACUUUGUCCUUAAAUGCACCAACCGUAACCUUUUUAUUCAUCCGCAGGAACUCCAUGUAAUGCCUAGCCAAAAAACCAGAAUUUGCAUGCUUGUGAUAAAAAGUUCUACCACAUUGAUGUUGUGGCCCCAUCGUUCUUAUCACGAAUGCAUCACAAUCUGGUUCUUUUGUAGCAUAAACAAACCAGUUGCAUUUCUCUUUCUUGUAUUUUGCUCUGAUCCUGUUCUUAUCAUUCUUUUGCCAACCAUGCUCUUUGCCCCACUGCACAGAAUAAUACUCAACAGCUCUUUUAAACAUCUUCUUAGUGUCAAACAAUAAACCAACAUAUAAUUUGGGGUCCUUCAUAUCCACAUCUGGCUUGAACCUUGUAUAUUUCGGUUUCUUGCUUGAGGUAUUUUCAUCCGAGCUACUAGAGCAGCUACUAAACUCCUCUGUGUUUAUGGAAUCAGAUUCCUCUUGGAUAGGAAUCUGGUCACCAUCAUAAAUAUCACAGUCAUGGUCAGCAGCAACACUUUCUUUUCCUUUUGCUUGUGCUUUGGCUUUUUGUGGCUGAUCUGAACCUUUCUUCUCUUCACCAGUGGCAUUUUCCCCUCCAUAACUAGCAUCAUAUACACUCCUCUGACCAUCAAUUUCGAUAUCAGCAGUAUUUGCACAAUUCUUGUAUAUUAUGUCAUCUUCGUCUUCCCUAAAAUCAUAGUCACUAUCAUGAAAACUUUCACCACCAUCUGUUUCCUCUAAUUCUGGUUCAGUUUCAUUAUCUGCAUCUUCAUCUUUUUCAAUCACAUUAGCACCUCUCUGUUUACCCUUUUUUGUUUUCCCCCAAUCUACUUUAGUUACAUCAACUGGAAGUUCUGCAACUUCUUCAUUCCCACAGAAUUCAUCAAAUGUGAUGUCCACAUACAGUAGAUUUUUUUCCUCAUUCUCACUGUCUCUCUCGAAAACUGCCAUGUUGUUGCUAGGUUCUAUGGAUCUAACAUGAAACUCUUGGACAAUGUAUAGUUCAACUUUUCCAGUUUGUAUACCUAUAGCAGCCAUGUCCAUGACGUCCUCUUCACUGUCUAUUUGUCUAACUCUCAGGCUCCCAUCUAUGGUAGGGAUCCUAUAUCUAUAGCUGGCGUUUUCAUGACAUUCAAGUAAAUGACCAAAGCUUAACACAAAAGCUACGUUAAUUUUGGAGGCUAGAACCCCAUCAAAAUGCUCCAUGUUACCUCCCACAUAUUUUGGCUCUGGUUCUUCAAUGUAUGCCCCACCAGAGUAGAUAUAUAGAGUGAAUACAUCUGAGUCAUCACCUAUUUUAUUUUCCAAACAAAUUAAAAAAUUACUACCAUAAUUUGUAAUUUACAGUCAUUGUCUGCUUUUUGAGGGACAUGAAAGCAACAUGACAAAUUAAAUUUACAGCCAUGGACCACAUGAACCCCUUUUCAGAAAAAAAAAUGAAAACAGAAAACACAGCCCUUUUUCCAACCACAUUUCAAUCGAUCUUGCUAUUAAAGUACAAUAUUUGCUGUUCACAACAACACAAACCCACACCGAAGAUAAUAAAUUAGAUUUACAGCCAUGCAACCCCUUUUCAGGAAAAAAAAAAGGAAGAACAGAAAACAGAGCCCUUUUCCAACCACAUUUCAAUCGAUCUUGCUAUUAAAGUACAAUAUUUGCUGUUCACAACAACACAAACCCACACCGAAGAUAAUAAAUUAGAUUUACAGCCAUGCAACCCCUUUUCAGGAAAAAAAAAAGGAAGAACAGAAAACAGAGCCCUUUUCCAACCACAUUUCAAUCCAUCUUGCUAUUAAAGUACAAUACUUGAUGUUUAGGGCAAGACAAACCCACACCCAACUUCAUUAAGCUAUUACCACAACAAAUUAGACAGAUUUAAGUGGCUAAACUUACCCAUUUUUGUUGGCCCUGUUUUUCAAAAUUUCUUCUUUCGCGCCUUUCGUCACUUGCUCCCUUUUCAGAUUCCUUCGACUUCCUGCGCCACUACAUUUCCUUAUUCAUCACCAUUUCAGUCGGUUUCGGUCGGUUUUUGCAAGAUAAAGUUGAGGUUUCAGGUUUGGAUUUUUGUCAGUGGUGAUAUAAUUUUACACCGGUAACUUUUUGGUUUUGAUUCUUAAUUCUGAAGAGGAGCCCCAACAGUGAAGUACCAGAAAUGCCCCCGCAUAAGUGGUCAAUUAGACGUUGCACCGCAAUUACAAGGUGGCGCGGCCGCGGAGAUCCUUAAUUGGAACCGACAAAUAAGUGUAGGGUUUAAAUUGGCCAAAAAAAUUAUAUAAGGACUAAAUUGACAUUAGAAAAAAGUAUAGGGACUAAAUUGGCCAUUUUCCCAACAUUUUUUAUAGCUAGACAAACAACCACUUGGGGGCAUUUUAGAAAGUUCAAUUAAUACAUGUGUUGGACCAAUGUCAUCAUCAUCCACCGUUGAUCACUAGAGUGUGAAAACUAGCAAAACGAUUUGAUUUCUCAACUAGCACUCUUUUUUAUACUUUUAGCAGAAGAAAUAGAGUCUAGUAUUGCUUACAAAUCUAUUAACUUCGUAACAACCACGUCACGAUCCGGGGGGGGGAUGGGGAGGGUGGUGGGGUGAGGGAGAGGAGAGGAGGGGAGCAGGAGAGAGGAGGACGAGAGGGAGGAAGGGGGAAGAGGUAAGAUAGAGGAGAGGAGGACGAGGGAUGAGGAGAGAGGGAAAGAGAGAAAAAAAACAGAAUGAGAAUGUGGUGGGUUGAGGUGGGGAAAGGAAAGAAGGAAUUUUUUUUUUUUUAGAUAUUUUGAGGUGUGUAUUUUAAAAUUUUUGAGGAGUAGGUAAAGUUUUUUAAAAACUUAACAAAAUAUCCGUUUGCAAAACAGGCCAGUAGCUUGUUUAUUUGCUGAGCUGACUUUGAACGAAUUUUUUUUUUAUCAAGAUUAAAAGUUAUCAAUCAUAAAAUGCCGUUCAAUUAGUUGGUAACUCUUAUCAAACUGAACUCGAGUUAAAAUAUCAAGUAAUUUAGUUCAUUUUUCAACCCUAGCUUUAGAAUAAGUACAUGCUGAUAUAUUUUCCCAAUAAUUGAGAAUGCCUCUCUUUAAUUGUAUUAAAUGGCACACGACUGAAGUUCUGAACUUUUUUCACAAAAUGUAGGAUUUUAUUGGGGUUACUAAAAGGCGGGGAUUUAUGUUAUCUUUGUGACAUGCUCAAUGUUUUUUUCUACCAUUAGUGCAGAUUUCAUGGAAUGAACUUUUUUCUUUUAUUAAAUUUUUUUUCCCAAGUGCUAAACCUUGAAAAUAUGGAAUCAACUUGACAUAGCUGAAAGAUUAGGAAGUGUUUGAUGAACCUAUCGAUUGUUGUACGUUAUUAGCAAUUAACACUUACAAUUUUCAUUCUACUUAUUAUGGCUAUUUUUACACUUGACUUUAGAAUGAAUAUUGUUAAGCAGACUAAUUGUGACUUGUUACAAUUUUCAAUUGGCCAGAUGCGAAGGGACCGGAUUAGGAGAAAGAUGAAAGCUCUCCAAGAUUUGAUCCCCAACUGCAAAACUGUGAAUGCUUUAUCUGUUUUACACUUCUGAGCUGUAUCCAUAAUACAAGGACAAUAAUUUUUUCUUGUACUUUUUUCAAGAAAAGAACUGUGUCAAAAAAUAUAAUCUGGUUUGUCAAACUAUCUUUUAGGCAAUCUGGGAUGAAAUACGAGCAGGAGAGUUUGUCUGAAGAAAUUUCCAAUUCCAAAUGCAAUGCCUAAUAUAUUACACUCGAAAAAGGAUUUUAAAACUUCUCCAUAAGAUUGGUUGCUAAUUGUUGUGAUUCUGGUUAUUCAUCAUCCAAGCUUUGCAUUGCAUUUAAGGGGGAAAAUCAGUUCGAUAGAACUCUAGACAUGGAAAAUAUGUCCAGAGUAUAAAUCAGUGAUUGAUAAAUGAUUUCUAGUCCUUUUCUCUGGUUUUUCAGGUUCUGACCUGUUCUUUUGUGCUUGACAAUUGACAUUUCCUGCAAAUGCCAGACAGACAAAAUUUCGGUGCUUGAUGACGUGAUAAAAUACAUAAAAGCCUUGCAAAAUCAAAUUCUUGUAAUCCUUUCUAUGACCUUCCUUGGCAACUGAAACAUAAAGCAUGCAUGGUUUAUAGGGGUGUGACCAUGAAUAUUGACUUUCCGCUGUGGAUGAGAAAAUCCAGAUGAUGUCCACCGGAGCAGGUGCCAUGCUUCAAGGUCCAUAUGUGUUACAGGCUGGAUAUCUGCGGGUGCAGGUGCCCCAAUUUUCCUCUCAGUUUAUGCCAAUGAGGGCAGGUGUUGGAAUGGGAAUUUAUGACAUGUCUUGUUCAACUGCACCACCAAUGAUGCCAUUUCCCUUGGCCAGUCCUUGUCAAUCAACUCUAGCAGCCUCAGGGAUGGCCAUGGUUGUUCCAAUGCAUCAGCUGCAAUUGCCACUGAAUCCUUUCCAACCAUUGCCAUCAGCAGAUUCUGGUUCCACUUUGACAUGCCCUUUUCUCCGUCUCUCUUAGUCCACCAGAUCUUUCAUUCCAAUUGCUCGGUCCAAUCUACAAAAUCAUACCUGAUGUAUACAAAAACGAAUUUUUCUUCCAUUGCACCUAUCUAUUGGAGUUCAUAUAAGUGAAUAUGUUUCGUCAUGUCCUGCAUAUCUUGAAUUUUGCAGGAUUUUAGCUUGAAUUCAUUUAAGUUGUUUUUGUAACAAAGAUUUGUUAGACUGUCUAGCUGCAUAUCUUGAAUUCACAAGAGGUUAAUUAAAAAAAAAAUUUACAUAAGAUAUUAUGUCAACAUCUGUGCUGAAGAUGUUAUUUUAUGGCUGUGAAAGACAAAAGUAUUAAGUGGAUGUGACUGUGCAGAUCUCAGGAAUUUACAGUAAGUGGUUCAAGUGCAAUAGUUCUGCUAAGCCAAAUUAUAACUCCUGCUUUUUCAUCAAGCACCAGCGUAAUAACCGAGGUUCCACGCAUCCCAGAGGAAGGCGAUGAAAGUGGCUCCAGCCAGAGGUUGGUUUUUUCUCCUGUCUUUUUUAUUUGAGAUGUUUAUUUUAUGGUGUAUUAGAUUAUUAGUUGACUGCAAAAAAUGGUAAAUUGCUUUGACAUGACAGGAUUUGAGUCGAGGCCAAAGAUGGUCGAGAGAGUUGCUUACAGUUUCAGGAACAAAAGGAAGUUCAUUCUUUUCAGCCUUUAUUUCAACCAUUCUUCAUUUACAACACUGUUGCAGGUCAUGGCUAAUAAGGUCUUGGAAGAAAUGAAGUAAUAGAACAUUUAUUACCUCAUCUCGGUUUAUUAGUGUAGCUGGAUCAACAUAAUUUGUGGUGUCAAAAGCACUUGGUUUACAACUUUGCUGUACCUUCGCUAAUCUAUUCAUUUGUUCUGAUGUAUGGUUUCUCCUUAGUUCAGAUGUGAGCAAGUACCGAAGAAUUGGAUUCAAAAGGAAAACCAUUUGAGAAAAUUGCCUCUGAAUUGUAUGCCUGAUUCAGCAAGCCUUUCCAUUUUUUCUGUUUCCCUUCUUAUCUUCCGUUUCCUCGACUUUUCUGGAUUAGUACACCGGAACAAUCUGGUUGGAGGACUGAAUACACCAUAGGUUCAUUCAACAGACCCUGCAUUUCCUGCAAAAGCCUAAUCAGUUCUUCAUGGAAUGGAGCAAUGAAGUCACAGGUCUAAGCUCCAUGAACAACCUCCUUGCUAAUUAAAAGGUAAAAUCUCAUUGAAAUGCCCGCAAAACCAACUAGUGGUCAUCAACUCUAAGAUUCCCAAUCCUUCCUCUCAAUAUGCCAGAACACACAAGAAAAAAAGCUUUCAGAAUGUGAUAUAAAGGAGAUUUGGGGCUCAAAUUCACUGAUAGAGUGGCCUCAGCAGCAGGCCAUCAUACUUGAACUAACCAAAGAAUCACCUCAGGAGAAAUAUUUUCCCAUUAUGGAUCGAGACUUGAAGCUUAAUGGCAAACUGACUAAUUAUCUUAUUUUCUGCUCAUUCAAUAUUGCAAUAAAAGUAAACUACCUCCUCUUAUUUGUAUGAUAUCCCUGGAAGAAGCCGCUCAAAAUUUGUCAGGCGCUGUAUCCACCACAGAAAAUCCUAAUCAGGAUCUUGACUACUUGCGAUAACUUCUGUCCAAUUAAAUUUUCUAACAAGUUCAGGAUAUUUCUAUUUCACCAGCUUUCUGUUUUAUUUAAUGAUGAUUUUAUUUGGUGCCAUUCAACUAUAAUUGCCAAUGAUGUCUACUCUUUUAUCUACGCCAGAGAAUCAGUUGUUGCAGGAUUGGGGAACUUCCCAAUCCUCAGAACCUAAAAGGGGUUUACGGACUCACAAACAUGAAAGAAAACCAACAAGCUCUGAAGUUAAAGGGAACUUUAGAAUAGCUCCAGGGGCAGCAAAUGUACGAAAAUUAGAGUAGGCUUGAAUAAUCUCUACCAAAAUGUGCCUACUGCUUAUGAAAGUCAGGAGAGGAUUUCUGUGAUCCUGUAUAUAGAAACUUUAAGAGGGCGGCAAUUCACCAUUUAUGAAUUGUCUAUGAUUCAACACUUAAUGAAGGGAUAGAAUCUAAAGAGUAAUUUCUCCAUUUUAAAAGGAUAAAGAUUCUAAGAGUAAUAUUAAUGUAGCAAGAAAUAUAGGAAAGUUGGCACCACUCUUGCGUCAAUCCAUUCCCAGGAUAUCAGAAUUUUGUUGUUGCAGCAUCAUGCAAAAUGCAAAAGAUCUAUUUAACAGAUCCGCAUCAUAUAGUUUCAACUUUCAAAGUGUCUGAAAUUGCAGCAACCCAUGUUUCAAUCAUUCAUCAUUUUUCAACGAAAUCCUAUUUCCCUUAUUCUGUGAACACAGGUUUGAUGAUGUUUAUUGACUUGUACACAAAGCUUGAGAAGUGGGAAGUACAAAUCCAACAAAUUCAGAAGAGACAUUAGCAUAUCUGACAAUUCUAAAGAUAUAUCAGUGUAACUUAGCAUCUAAAACUGAAAGAAAAAAAAAGAGACAGAGAGAAAGAGCUUUGGUGGAAAUACUUUUCUCCAAUAUUGAAGAAUAGUACAUAAUCACUCAACCAGAAUAACGCUUCUACAUAUAUGCUAUAUGACUUCUACUAGUACUAAAGGUAUUGCUGGUAAAAUAGCAAGUAAAACUGAGGGAGUAAACCUCAAUGCAUCCCUCACAAACAUUCUUAGUAUACCAAAGUUUUUCUUCUGCGUCUUAGCCACUCAUUUGCUACAACAGGAGCACCAUUACAUAAGUUUA